GACAGGCACAAGCUCCCAUGUGACCUAAGAGAGAGAGAUGACCAAUCAAACAUAAGUACUUCUUUAUCCAGAAUUUUUUAUUAAUUUAUAAGAUGUCCGUGGCUUUUCCCUAGGGAGUAAAUAGAGUAUGAAGUGUUGGAACAGCAGCUGCCCUUUGAAGCUGGAAUACCAUCAGGGCAUGAUGUUCAUCAGCCUGGAAAGAGGAAGGAAGGGUGCUGUGCAGGGUAGUAGUUGAGUUCAUGGAUAUCUUCAGGCAUACCAACCAGAGAAAAAAAUACAAGUUCCUAUUCCACAGUUCAUCCUGAUUGUUUCCUUUCCAUGAACUUUUGUUAUUCCAAAUAUGCUUUCAGGAUUUAAACUCUCAAUUAAUGUGUUUUGUUCAUACAACAAAGCCUAUUUCUCCUCAUGUUCGUGGAAAUGAUUAGUGAGUGGAAAAUGGCUCAAAAUUAAUAAAGACAAUAUUAG
rnacentral:lncRNA from 12 species